GGACUCCUUGGUAUUAUAGUGGAUGAUAGUGCAUGAUAGAUAUAGGCUGACCCACCCCAAAAGACAUACAUUCAAACCAGUUUAACCAAAACAAAUACAAUUCCAAUCAUGUCCACAGACAUCGGGGGUAGAGGUUCUCCCAAUCAAAUACAAAUCAAAUGAACAGAAGUGCAAUUAAAGACAAAACUAGAGGUACAACUGCAGAGUCUGGACGAGACUGAAGGACACAUAUAAUAGUUAAGGUUUUAAAGGACACAGAUAAUAGAAGAUAAUAGAUGAGGUUGUAAAGCACACAGAUAAUAGAUAAGGUUAUAAAAGACACAGAUAAUAGUUAAGGUUUUAAAGGACACAGAUAAUAGUUAAGGUUUUAAAGGACACAGAUAAUAGUUAAGUUCUAGAACACACAGAUAUUAGUAAAGGUUCUAAAGGCCCUACUGACGGGGCGGUAUACAGGUCCAAACAGAUAUUAGUAAAGGUUCUAAAGGCGCUACUGACGGGGCGGUAUACAGGUCCAAACAGUGGAGCGGUGAAGUUACCCUCAUCACGGGAUCCUGGGCUCUCCUCUGCGUUCAGAAGAGACUUCAGCAUCUGUCAAUCACACAGAGACCAAGUCCCAUCACUGUCACUGAACAGACAAUCAAUACAGAUCAAUAUGUUCCGAUCACGGUCACUGUACAGACAAUCUAAUGGCAAUACAGAUCAAUAUGUCCCAUCACUGUCACUGUACAGACAAUCAAUACAGAUCAAUACACACACACACACACACACACAUGACAGAACAACACGGAGAUCACAUAUCACCAUCACGGUACAGGCAUCUAAAGCCAAUACAUGCCACCAUGAUGCAGGAGCAGCACACACACACACACACACACACACACACACACAAACACACACACACA
ensembl:lncRNA